rnacentral:rRNA from 1 species
GAUGAACGCUGGCGGCGUGCCUAAUACAUGCAAGUCGAGCGAACAGACGAGGAGCUUGCUCCUCUGACGUUAGCGGCGGACGGGUGAGUAACACGUGGCUACCCUACCUAUAAGACUGGGGUAACUUCGGGAAACCGGAGCUAAUACCGGAUAAUAUAUUGAACCGCAUGGUUCUAUAGAGAAAGACGGUUUUGCUGUCACUUAUAGAUGGUUCCGAGCCGCAUUAGCUAGUUGGUAAGGUAACAGCUUACCAAGGCGACGAUGCGUAGCUGAUCUGAGAGGAUGAUCAGCCACACUGGAACUGAGACACGGUCCAGACUCCUACGGGAGGCAGCAGUGGGGAAUCUUCCACAAUGGGCGAAAGCCUGACGCAGCAACGCCGCGUGAGUGAUGAAGGUCUUCGGAUCGUAAAGCACUGUUAGUUGGGAAGAACAAAUGUGUGAGUAACUAUGGACGUCUUGACGGUACCUAAACAGAAAGCCCCGGCUAACUACGUG